UCUGACUGGACUAAGUCGUAACAAGUAUCCGUAGGUGAACUGCAGAAGGAUCA
rnacentral:rRNA from 1 species